CCUACGGGAGGCAGCAGUGGGGAAUUUUGGACAAUGGGCGCAAGCCUGAUCCAGCAAUGCCGCGUGAGUGAAGAAGGUCUUCGGGUUGUAAAGCUCUUUUGUCAGGGAAGAAACGGUGGGAGCUAAUAUCUCCCACUAAUGACGGUACCUGAAGAAUAAGCACCGGCUAACUACGUGCCAGCAGCCGCGGUAAUACGUAGGGUGCAAGCGUUAAUCGGAAUUACUGGGCGUAAAGCGUGCGCAGGCGGUUUUGUAAGUCUGUCGUGAAAGCCCCGGGCUCAACCUGGGAAUUGCGAUGGAGACUGCAAGGCUUGAAUCUGGCAGAGGGGGGUAGAAUUCCACGUGUAGCAGUGAAAUGCGUAGAGAUGUGGAGGAACACCGAUGGCGAAGGCAGCCCCCUGGGUCAAGAUUGACGCUCAUGCACGAAAGCGUGGGGAGCAAACAGGAUUAGAUACCCUGGUAGUCCACGCCCUAAACGAUGUCUACUAGUUGUCGGGUUUUAAUUAACUUGGUAACGCAGCUAACGCGUGAAGUAGACCGCCUGGGGAGUACGGUCGCAAGAUUAAAACGUCAAAGGAAUUGACGGCNGAGAGNGCGACGACGACGACGAGGAGGAGG
rnacentral:rRNA from 1 species